rnacentral:rRNA from 1 species
UACGUAGGGGGCUAGCGUUGUCCGGAAUCAUUGGGCGUAAAGCGCGCGUAGGCGGCCAGAUAAGUCCGGUGUGAAAGUCACAGGCUCAACCUGUGAAUGCCGCUGGAAACUGUCUGGCUAGAGUCCGGAAGGGGCGAGUGGAAUUCCUGGUGUAGCGGUGAAAUGCGCAGAUAUCAGGAGGAACACCAAUGGCGAAGGCAGCUCGCUGGAACGGUACUGACGCUGAGGCGCGAAAGCUAGGGGAGCAAACAGG